UCGAAACAAAGUAGGUACACCUGAAGGUAUAUCUAGA
rnacentral:rRNA from 1 species